AAUGGAAGUGGUUGAGGUAUGGGUCCUGGGUUGGUUAGUUUGUAUUUGUUGUUGUUGUUUGUUUUCUGAGACAAGGUCUUGCUAUGUAGCCCAGGCUGGCCUCGAACUCGAGGUGCUGGGGAUGGACCCAGGGCCUUGUGCAUGUUAAGUGUGUGCUCUACAUGGAGCUGCUGUCCCAGCCAGAAUUACUGUUUUCAGCCAUUAGUCUUGGAUGGUUUGUGACCUGGAAGUAGCCAAUCAGGAUACAGAGUCGACACUGUGAAAGUGACCUCAGUACCAUCUCCAACCCCAUUCAGUCUGCACUAGUUACACCUGCAUGCUUAGCACCUUCAUGCCCCCACCG
ensembl:lncRNA